rnacentral:rRNA from 1 species
AGAGUUUGAUCCUGGCUCAGGACGAACGCUGGCGGCGUGCUUAACACAUGCAAGUCGAACGGAUCCUGUUUCGGCAGGGUUAGUGGCGAACGGGUGAGUAACACGUGGGCAACCUGCCCCAGACUCUGGGAUAACUCCGGGAAACCGGGGCUAAUACCGGAUACUCCCCUCCUACCGCAUGGUGGGUGGGGGAAAGGGUU